rnacentral:lncRNA from 1 species
AGGGGUGCGUACAAAUGGACCAGGACGCGGAGAGCACGGAAACAACGGUGCUGGGACCUUGUGCACAGAAUCCAGAUGCCAGAUGGGAAUUAAACAUUCGGCCGAGAAAAGCAAUCUAGUUCCCUGGGCUCGACUUUGACUCACUCCUUGGUCUGCACCAAUCCUCACAUCCCUCAGGUCCUCUAACUUUUACGACAGUAUCCAGAAAUCGAUUCUUUGGUCUCUACGGCUCCAGAAGGCUCGCUCAUCAAGGCACUGUUUCGAGGAGUUUCAAAAUUAAUUUUUCCAAAGAAAAUAUCGAGAAACUGGUAAUUUUGUUGAGGUAGAGCCAUGGCCCGAAAUUCACUGUGUAGUUGAAGAUGACCCCGGAGUCAUGAUCCUUCUGCUUUCUUUCAGAAACGUUCCAUUACCUUCGAUUAGAAGUGGAUACAUAUAUGAUUUUGGCCUAAAAAAAAAUUUGCAAAAAGGGAGAAUGCAAACUUGUCCUUUUCCUUUUGGAUUUACGGAGUGCCAGUAUCAGGUGUGGUUCCAGGUUCCCGUUCCAGGUUCCAGAUAAGGCUGUGGUGAGGUCUCGAGCAGACAAGCACAAGUCCAAUUGCCUCUUCUUUUGAAACAGAGUCUAUUGAGGAGGAAUCUCUGAAAAUGACAGCUGAUGGGUGUAGAGACCCACGCCCGGAAUCUCAGCAACUGAAGUGGUUGAAGCAGGAGCAUCUGGGCAGAGCUUGAACCAGGAAGCUGAGCGGCACCAUAGGUGUUGCUAACCAAGCAUAGCAGCAUAAUAAAAAUGGAGUGAUUAAAUGUA